rnacentral:lncRNA from 1 species
GGGGACGACUGGUAAAUCCUCUCUGUGCACCCAGACUGGGUCUUGCGCUGAAAAACAUCAAAAUCUGAAUUAUACAGAGGCUAUGCAGCACUAUGGGAGGUCUGGAAGACUUCUGGACCCUUAGUGCUUCUGACUUCCUCUCUCUGUGAGCAAAGAGUUAUCACAGGUCAACUGCAGAGUGGAAAGUGUGGCAGCAAAUUCUGGGGCAAACAGGGAAGCAAGCUAAUGCUAUCUGCUGGUUUCACAAGAAAAAAAGUCAGAAAUACCAUAACCACUAAAAGACAUCUUGAAUAA